GAUGAACGCUGGCGGCGUGCCUAAUACAUGCAAGUCGAGCGAACAGACGAGGAGCUUGCUCCUCUGACGUUAGCGGCGGACGGGUGAGUAACACGUGGAUAACCUACCUAUAAGACUGGGAUAACUUCGGGAAACCGGAGCUAAUACCGGAUAAUAUAUUGAACCGCAUGGUUCAAUAGUUAAAGACGGUUUUGCUGUCACUUAUAGAUGGAUCCGCGCCGCAUUAGCUAGUUGGUAAGGUGACGGCUUACCAAGGCAACGAUGCGUAGCCGACCUGAGAGGGUGAUCGGCCACACUGGAACUGAGACACGGUCCAGACUCCUACGGGAGGCAGCAGUAGGGAAUCUUCCGCAAUGGGCGAAAGCCUGACGGAGCAACGCCGCGUGAGUGAUGAAGGUCUUCGGAUCGUAAAACUCUGUUAUUAGGGAAGAACAAAUGUGUAAGUAACUAUGCACGUCUUGACGGUACCUAAUCAGAAAGCCACGGCUAACUACGUG
rnacentral:rRNA from 1 species